rnacentral:rRNA from 1 species
GAUGAACGCUGACAGAAUGCUUAACGCAUGCAAGUCUUUGGCGAAGCUGUGCUCGCACAGCCUAGCCAAGGCGGACGGGUGAGUAACGCGUAAGGAACUUGCCCUGCAGUCAGGGAUAACAGACGGAAACGACUGAUAAGACCUGGUAAAGUCAGGCGGACUCAUGUCCAGCCUGAUGAAAAGAGAUGCUGCAGGAGAGCCUUGCGUCCUAUUAGCUUGUUGGUGGGGUAACGGCCCACCAAGGCGAUGAUAGGUAGCCGGCCUGAGAGGGUGGACGGCCACAAGGGGACUGAGAUACGGCCCUUACUCCUACGGGAGGCAGCAGUGGGGAAUAUUGGACAAUGGGGGCAACCCUGAUCCAGCAAUUCUGUGUGCACGAUGAAGGUUUUCGGAUUGUAAAGUGCUUUCAGCAGGGAAGAAAAAAAUGACGGUACCUGCAGAAGAAGCGACGGCUAAAUACGUG